rnacentral:rRNA from 1 species
CACGUAGGGCCAAGCGUUGUCCGGAUUUAUUGGGCGUAAAGAGCUCGUAGGCGGUUCGACAAGUCGGGUGUGAAAACUCCGGGCUCAACCCGGAGACGCCACCGACUACUGUCGUGACUGGAGUCCGGUAGGGGAGGUGGGGAAGUACCUCGGGUGUAGCGGUGAAAUGCGUAGAUAUGCGGAGGAACACCGAUGGCGAAGGCAAUCCCCUGGGCCUGCACUGACGCUCAUGCACGAAAGCGUGGGGAGCAAACAGG